rnacentral:rRNA from 1 species
AGGUGCGAUCAUACCUGCAAUAAUGCACCAGAUCCCUUCAGAACUUUGAAGUUAAGCUUGCUUGGGAGAGACCAGUACUAGGAUGGGUGACCUCCUGGGAAGUCCUCGUUAUGCACCCCUC